rnacentral:rRNA from 1 species
UACGUAGGGUGCGAGCGUUGUCCGGAAUUAUUGGGCGUAAAGGGCUCGUAGGCGGUGUGUCGCGUCGGCCGUGAAAACCUGCAGCUUAACUGUGGGCUUGCGGUCGAUACGGGCAUCACUGGAGUUCGGCAGGGGAGACUGGAAUUCCCGGUGUAGCGGUGAAAUGCGCAGAUAUCAGGAGGAACACCGGUGGCGAAGGCGGUUCUCUGGGCCUUACCUGACGCUGAGGAGCGAAAGCAUGGGGAGCAAACAGG